rnacentral:rRNA from 1 species
CCCGUUGAACUCAAUUAUCCGUGCGGCGAUAUUCAUGUGUGGGGGGGUCGCAGGCCCGCUCUUUCGCGCUCCCCCUGCAAGGCACUUAUCGUCGCGCCCUGGACAUCGCGAUCCAUUGCGCGCACCCUGGCCCUUACAUUCAGCAAUUGCCGCCGAUUCCGCUUCGCCAGCCCCGUAGUAGUGGCGUUCAGUUACACUGAAGGCCUACGCCGCGAGCCGGGGCUGGGCGGGUGGUGCGCAGCUGAAGGUGCGAUGGACUCACCCGAGCCGGGUGGUGCGGGCCGUAUGCGGGUUAACCCCCGGAUACACCGAACAUUGGCUACCGUUAUCCACCCGAUCGGCGAUGACAUCUAGUUGAGGUACCUCCGGG